rnacentral:rRNA from 1 species
UUUUAUGGAGAGUUUGAUCCUGGCUCAGGAUGAACGCUGGCGGCGUGCCUAAUACAUGCAAGUCGAGCGAACGGAUGAGAAGCUUGCUUCUCUGAUGUUAGCGGCGGACGGGUGAGUAACACGUGGAUAACCUACCUAUAAGACUGGGAUAACUUCGGGAAACCGGAGCUAAUACCGGAUAAUAUUUUGAACCGCAUGGUUCAAAAGUGAAAGACGGUCUUGCUGUCACUUAUAGAUGGAUCCGCGCUGCAUUAGCUAGUUGGUAAGGUAACGGCUUACCAAGGCAACGAUGCAUAGCCGACCUGAGAGGGUGAUCGGCCACACUGGAACUGAGACACGGUCCAGACUCCUACGGGAGGCAGCAGUAGGGAAUCUUCCGCAAUGGGCGAAAGCCUGACGGAGCAACGCCGCGUGAGUGAUG